rnacentral:tRNA from 1 species
GCCGGGGUGGUGAAAUUGGUAUACACGCAAGACUUAAAAUCUUGUGACCUCAACAGUCGUGCGGGUUCGAUCCCCGCCCUCGGCAC